GAUGAACGCUAGCGGUGGGCCUAACACAUGCAAGUCGAGGGGUAACGAGUUUAGCUUGCUAAAUGUCGACGACCGGCGCACGGGUGCGUAACGCGUAUACAAUCUACCUUACACAGAGGGAUAGCCCAGAGAAAUUUGGAUUAAUACCUCAUAGCAUUAUUAGUUCGCAUGAAUUUGAUAAUUAAAACUUCGGUGGUGUAAGAUGAGUAUGCGUCCCAUUAGAUAGUUGGUGAGGUAACGGCUCACCAAGUCCGCGAUGGGUAGGGGGCCUGAGAGGGUUGUCCCCACACUGGUACUGAGACACGGACCAG
rnacentral:rRNA from 1 species